rnacentral:misc_RNA from 1 species
UAUCAGCCUGUCAGCACACCUGGAAG